rnacentral:rRNA from 1 species
AUUGAACGCUGGCGGCACGCUUAACACAUGCAAGUCGAGCGGUAACAUGACUAGUAGCAAUACUAGUUGAUGACGAGCGGCGGACGGGUGAGUAACACGUAGGAACUUGCCCAGUAGUGGGGGACAACCAAGGGAAACUUUGGCUAAUACCGCAUAUUCUCGAGAGAGGAAAGCUGCCGCAAGGUGGCGCUAUUGGAGAGGCCUGCGUCCGAUUAGCUAGUUUGUAGGGUAAAAGCCUACCAAGGCGAGGAUCGGUAACUGGUCUGAGAGGACGACCAGUCACACUGGGACUGAGACACGGCCCAGACUCCUACGGGAGGCAGCAGUGGGGAAUCUUGGACAAUGGGGGCAACCCUGAUCCAGCGAUGCCGCGUGAGUGAAGAAGGCCUUCGGGUCGUAAAGCUCUUUAGGCUGGGAAGAAGAUUGGUAGUUUAAGAGAUAAUCAAUUUGACUGUACCAGCAGAAUAAGCACCGGCAAACUCUGUGCCAGCAGCCGCGGUAAAAC